rnacentral:misc_RNA from 1 species
CGAGUAUGUAGAGAAACUGAAAGAAAGUUUUAAAGGCAUAGAAGAGAUAGGUGUGAUUGAAGAUUUGUGGGAUAAAUUUAAGAAAGGGGUCGUGAAUGUUGCUAUCGAGGUAUGCGGGGUAGGUAAAAGAAGGAAAAGAAGAAAUAACUAUAAUGUGUGGAUGGAUAAAGAUGUACAAAAGGCUGUGCAAGAAAAGAAGAAAGCAUGCUUGGAUUGGUUAGCGACAAAAGCUAACCAAAAAGUUCAAAAGGCAACGGAUGACGAGAUAAAGGAAGCAAGAACGAAAGGAUGAUUUUGAUAGAAGGCUCACUGAAGAUUUCCAGUCAAACAUCAAGUUUUUCUGGAAAUCCAUCAAAACUGCUAGAGGAAAAACCUCUACCUCGGAACUGAAGUACCCUAAACCGAAGAGCAUGUAUG